UACGUAGGGGGCAAGCGUUGUCCGGAUUUAUUGGGCGUAAAGAGCGUGUAGGCGGUUUGGUAGGUCCGCUGUGAAAACUCGAGGCUCAACCUCGAGACGCCGGUGGAAACCAUCAGACUAGAGUCCGGAAGAGGAGAGUGGAAUUCCUGGUGUAGCGGUGAAAUGCGUAGAUAUCGAGAGGAACACCUGCGGCGAAGGCGGGUUGCUGGGCUGAUACUGACGCUGAGGCGCGAAAGCCAGGGGAGCGAACGGG
rnacentral:rRNA from 1 species